rnacentral:rRNA from 1 species
CCCGGGGGGGUGCUUACACAUGCAGUCGAACGGUGAAGCAGGAGCUUGCUCUUGUGGAUCAGUGGCGAACGGGUGAGUAACACGUGAGCAACCUGCCCCUGACUCUGGGAUAAGCGCUGGAAACGGCGUCUAAUACUGGAUAUGUGACGUGACCGCAUGGUCUGCGUUUGGAAAGAUUUUUCGGUUGGGGAUGGGCUCGCGGCCUAUCAGCUUGUUGGUGAGGUAAUGGCUCACCAAGGCGUCGACGGGUAGCCGGCCUGAGAGGGUGACCGGCCACACUGGGACUGAGACACGGCCCAGACUCCUACGGGAGGCAGCAGUGGGGAAUAUUGCACAAUGGGCGAAAGCCUGAUGCAGCAACGCCGCGUGAGGGAUGACGGCCUUCGGGUUGUAAACCUCUUUUAGCAGGGAAGAAGCGAAAGUGACGGUACCUGCAGAAAAAGCGCCGGCUAACUACGUGCCAGCAGCCGCGGUAAUACGUAGGGCGCAAGCGUUAUCCGGAAUUAUUGGGCGUAAAGAGCUCGUAGGCGGUUUGUCGCGUCUGCUGUGAAAUCCCGAGGCUCAACCUCGGGCCUGCAGUGGGUACGGGCAGACUAGAGUGCGGUAGGGGAGAUUGGAAUUCCUGGUGUAGCGGUGGAAUGCGCAGAUAUCAGGAGGAACACCGAUGGCGAAGGCAGAUCUCUGGGCCGUAACUGACGCUGAGGAGCGAAAGGGUGGGGAGCAAACAGGCUUAGAUACCCUGGUAGUCCACCCCGUAAACGUUGGGAACUAGUUGUGGGGUCCAUUCCACGGAUUCCGUGACGCAGCUAACGCAUUAAGUUCCCCGCCUGGGGAGUACGGCCGCAAGGCUAAAACUCAAAGGAAUUGACGGGGACCCGCACAAGCGGCGGAGCAUGCGGAUUAAUUCGAUGCAACGCGAAGAACCUUACCAAGGCUUGACAUAUACGAGAACGGGCCAGAAAUGGUCAACUCUUUGGGACACUCGUAAACAGGUGGUGCA